AUGAACGAUUCAUCUGUGGAUCGUUGUGACAUCAGCACGGUUCUCCAGCAGCAAGCCUAUUUGCUGUUUUAUGUCAGGAGCCCUGAUUUAAGGGGAGGAAGGCCUUCUUCCCCACGGAUAGCAUCACAUGCCCGCGCCUUCCUGAGGCAGUGGGCGGCCGGCAGCAAGCAGGUAGAUCCUGCGGGACCAUGGGGUCUUCUUCCUAGGACUAAGGUAAGUCCGGGGAGAUGGAUCAGUGCAUUUCUUUCCGGGAUCUUGGCAUCGUUCUCUUUUCCCUCCCAGGCUGCAGCUUUCUUCAAAGCUGCAACGCUUCUCCCUCUCAAAGCAUCCCACCUCGAUCCACCCCAUUUGUCCACCUUUGGUUCUUCUGCCUUUGCGGCCCGCCGGGAGAAGCUCUGGGACGCCCUUAGCUGUCCCGUCCCACGGUUUCUGGGGGUUCCCCACCGUUCUGGUCCUUUCACGGGGAAAGGGCAGGGCCUUUUCACAGCUCUCUUUGCAGAACACGGCAGUGGGCAGGGAGGAUUCUCCAGAGGACACCAGCUCCUCUACAAGGACCAGCACCAGCCAGUUAAACUGGGCAGAUGCACGGGAGGCAUCUGCAGCCCGGCCAGGCGGGCGCAGCGUGGCCUCGUACGCGUCCAGAACCCAACCUGGCUUCCCGUUCUGCCGUCAACUGUUUGACCUUGGGCUGCACGCCGCGCAACACGACGACGACGAGGAGGAGGAGGACGGAUUCAGCUCCUGUUCCUGCUGCCAGAGGAACGUGAUCAGGGAGAGGGCCUGGAGCAGCUUCCCGCAACGGGACAACGAUUUCCGCAGCUGGCUCACGGUCCCCACGGACUACAGCCUCUCAGCAAGGAGGAGGAGGAGUCCGAGUCGUGAAGAAGCCCUCAGGGAUGACUCACCUCCGUGGACCUCCAACGCCAGCUCCCGGUGGGCUCCCGCAUCCCGGGCUGCUCGGGAGCAAAGACUGCUGCGGGAAAGAACGCGGAGCCGAUCCCCGCGGCGGGGUUAUACUCUCCGCAGCCGCUUCGUGGAGUACGCGGACUGCCGUGGCUCAGCGAGGAGGAGGAGAACUAGUCCUCCGAGUCAUGAACAAACCCCCAGGGAUGACUCGCCUGCUUGGACCUCCAACGCCAGCUCUGAGCGGGUUCCCGCAUCCCGGGAUGCCGGGGAGCAAACUCAGCUGCGGGAAAGAACGCGGAGCCGAUCCCCGCGGCGGGGUUAUAAUCUCUGCAGCCGGUUCGUGGAGUACACGGACGACCAUCGCUCCGCGAGAGGAGGACGGAGAAGAAGCGUGAGAAGAAGUCCUCCGCGUCGUGAGUGAGUCCCAAGGGACGAUGCGGCUCCAGGACCCUCCAGUGCCCGCUCCAAGCAGGCUCCGACACCCGGGGCUGCUCAGGACCAAAUCCUGCCGAGGCAGAGGGAGCGAAGCAGAUCCCCGCGGCGGGGUUACGAUCUCCGCAGCCGCUUCGUGGACACCGCAAACUACGACCCCUCAGCCGGGAGGAGGAGAAGGGCUUCCCGGAUGAGGCAGAAGCACAACAUCUAACUUCUGCAAUGCUGGAGAGGAGGAAGAGCGGGAAGAAGAAUCCAUGAAGUACCUAAGCAAGGACCAAGGAAAAGCUCAGAAAGAACUUCCAGACACUCGGAAAACUCUGCCAGCUGGCCCGCCUGCCCACAGGUCCCUGGAGGAAGAGCUUCUAUUUGUUUUCUGCUUUUGGGAUCACCUUGCAAAAACAACACUCGGUUGGAGCCAAGAGGCAGAAAAGACAAAGACAGAAUUAAAAACAUUUGCUGGCCUUGCAUGUGUCAUUUAUGGGGUGUUUCCUUCUCUGUAGGUUUUGGGGCAAUUGGUGGAAAUACCAGAG
rnacentral:lncRNA from 1 species